UACAGAGGUCAUCAAGCGUUGUUCGGAUUCAUUGGGCGUAAAGGGUGCGUAGGCGGCGCGGUAAGUCGGGUGUGAAAUCUCGGAGCUUAACUCCGAAACUGCAUUCGAUACUGCCGUGCUUGAGGACUGGAGAGGAGACUGGAAUUUACGGUGUAGCGGUGAAAUGCGUAGAUAUCGUAAGGAAGACCAGUGGCGAAGGCGGGUCUCUGGACAGUUCCUGACGCUGAGGCACGAAGGCCAGGGGAGCAAACGGG
rnacentral:rRNA from 1 species